rnacentral:sRNA from 1 species
AUGAGAAGCUUCGACUAAGGUUCGAUUCGAGCGCAGCGAGAAAGCGUUGCCGCAGGCAACGACCCGAAGGGUGAGGAGCGGAGCGACGAAUAAUCCUUCCCCCACCACCA